rnacentral:rRNA from 1 species
AGAGUUUGAUCAUGGCUCAGAACGAACGCUGGCGGCGUGCUUAACACAUGCAUGUCGAGUGCGCGGUUGUAGCAAUACAACUGGCGCACGGCGCACGGGUGCGUAACACGUGGGUAACCUGCCCUUUGGUGGGGAAUAACUCCGCGAAAGCGGAGCUAAUUCCGCAUAAGAUCCGCAAGGAUGAAAGCCGCAAGGCGCCGAAGGAGGGGCCCGCGCCCGAUUAGCUAGUUGGUAGGGUAACGGCCUACCAAGGCUUUGAUCGGUAGCUGGUCUGAGAGGAUGAUCAGCCACACUGGAACUGAGACACGGUCCAGACUCCUACGGGAGGCAGCAGUGGGGAAUCUUGCACAAUGGGCGAAAGCCUGAUGCAGCGACGCCGCGUGGGGGAUGAAGCAUUUCGGUGUGUAAACCCCUUUCGAUCCGGACGAAACCCCGCAAGGGAUUGACGGUACGGAUAUAAGAAGCCCCGGCUAACUACGUGCCAGCAGCCGCGGUAAGACGUAGGGGGCCAGCGUUGUUCGGAAUUACUGGGUGUAAAGGGUUCGUAGGCGGUGCGGCAAGUUGGGAGUGAAAUCUCUGGGCUUAACCCAGAGGCUGCUUCCAAAACUGCUGUGCUUGAGUGUGGGAGAGGCGCGUGGAAUUGCAGGUGUAGCGGUGAAAUGCGUAGAUAUCUGCAGGAACACCCGUGGCGAAAGCGGCGCGCUGGACCACUACUGACGCUGAGGAACGAAAGCUAGGGGAGCAAACAGGAUUAGAUACCCUAGUAGUCC